UACGUAGGGGGCAAGCGUUGUCCGGAAUCAUUGGGCGUAAAGCGCGUGUAGGCGGGUCGGUAAGUCCGCUCUGAAAGCCCGGGGCUCAACCCCGGGAGGCGGGUGGAUACUGUCGACCUCGAGUCCGGAAGAGGAGAGUGGAAUUCCUGGUGUAGCGGUGAAAUGCGCAGAUAUCAGGAAGAACACCCGUGGCGAAGGCGGCUCUCUGGGACGGUACUGACGCUGAGACGCGAAAGCGUGGGGAGCAAACAGG
rnacentral:rRNA from 1 species